GGAGAUGUAGGUCAAGUGAUAGAAUGUCUGCCUAGCAAGCACAAAGCCCUGAGUUCAAACCUCAAUACCACCA
rnacentral:tRNA from 1 species